CUCUGUUUGGUUUGUUUGUGGUGUGCCCGCUGGUGGAGAAGUUGUUUUUAGCGUUGAUAAAGGAGCCGUUUCGAAGGAGAGGAUCAGAGAGCGUAUCAGCGGCGAGUUCCUGGUGGUCGGACCUAUUCAUUUCGGGUCGGAAAGAACCAACAUCAGGAAUUUGACCCGGAACUUUGGGGAUUGACAUGGAUAGAGCAGCUGACUGUUCAAAUGCCCGUGCCCCCGAAAG
rnacentral:misc_RNA from 1 species